rnacentral:rRNA from 1 species
GAUGAACGCUGGCGGCGUGCCUAAUACAUGCAAGUCGAGCGAACAGAUGAGGAGCUUGCUCCUCUGACGUUAGCGGCGGACGGGUGAGUAACACGUGGAUAACCUACCUAUAAGACUGGGAUAACUUCGGGAAACCGGAGCUAAUACCGGAUAAUAUAUUGAACCGCAUGGUUCAAUAGUGAAAGACGGUUUUGCUGUCACUUAUAGAUGGAUCCGCGCCGCAUUAGCUAGUUGGUAAGGUAACGGCUUACCAAGGCAACGAUGCGUAGCCGACCUGAGAGGGUGAUCGGCCACACCGGAACUGAGACACGGUCCAGACUCCUACGGGAGGCAGCAGUAGGGAAUCUUCCGCAAUGGGCGAAAGCUUGACGGAGCAACGCCGCGUGAGUGAUGAAGGUCUUCGGAUCGUAAAACUCUGUUAUUAGGGAAGAACAAAUGUGUAAGUAACUAUGCACGUCUUGACGGUACCUAAUCAGAAAGCCACGGCUAACUACGUG